AAUAAACCAGUAGCUACGCUUGUGUCAGCAUAAAGACCCACAUUUUUUUAAGACUUAAAGAUCACUUUCUUCACGAAAGCAUCCGUGCCCUGUUCCUUUCUGUUGGCUUGGUAAUUGCAAUGCUAUAAGUUUAACUUCUCGUGGGAGCUGUCUAUCGGUCUGCUGGUUUACUCGCUUAUGAUCCUUUACAGGCUAUGAUCGCAACGCAGACUUCACCUUAGACAAUCAGGUAUUGAUUGUGGAUUUUCUCGUAAAUUAAAAAAACGCACACACACUUACACACAUAAGCACACACAUAAGCGACAACCAUGUUGUAUUGUAGGGUAAAUUGUCCUUAUGUAUUUGGGAUAUUGUAAAUUAUUGCAGUUGGCAUAUAUCAAUUGUACUAGAUAUAACUCAUUGAAAGAAAUCAUAGACGGGUAAUUGAGUGUAAAUAUACUAACAUUAUAAAUUUAUCAUAAUGUAUUAAUUAAAAGUAUAAACUA